rnacentral:sRNA from 1 species
GUCGGCCCCUGCGGGCCGCUCGCCGUCGCCGUGGAAACGAAAGAGGCCAAGUAGCGCUCCGCCCUGACACGCCGGCUCCGGUGGGCUCCAGCCGGCUACGCCGCGGCGGACAACGAUGCUGAAGGCCAAGAUCCUCUUCGUGGGGCCUUGCGAGGUUCGAGUCCUGCUGGCCAGCCCUGAUGAAGGAUGCUCAUGGAGUGGUGAUCGUCUUCAAUGCUGACAUCCCAAGCCACAGGAAGGAAAUGGAGAUGUGGUAUUCCUGCUUUGUCCAACAGCCGUCCUUACAGGACACACAGUGUAUGCUAAUUGCACACCACAAACCAGGCUCUGGAGAUGAUAAAGGAAGCCUGUCUUUGUCGCCACCCUUGAACAAGCUGAAGCUGGUGCACUCAAACCUGGAAGAUGACCCUGAGGAGAUCCGGAUGGAAUUCAUAAAGUAUUUAAAAAGCAUAAUCAACUCCAUGUCUGAGAGCAGAGACAGGGAGGAGAUGUCAAUUAUGACCUAGCCAGCCUUCACCUGGGACUGCCACAUCCCCAGUGAAAUCAGCAUGUUUCUCGGUGCAGAUCU